UUUUAUGGAGAGUUUGAUCCUGGCUCAGAGUGAACGCUGGCGGCGUGCCUAAUACAUGCAAGUCGAACGAUGAAGCUUCUAGCUUGCUAGAAGUGGAUUAGUGGCGCACGGGUGAGUAAGGUAUAGUUAAUCUGCCCUACACAAGAGGACAACAGUUGGAAA
rnacentral:rRNA from 1 species